GGGAGAACUUGCGCAAUUUUCUCCAUUGGAUGAAGCCAUCAGAAGAGGACCUCUGUUGAGUUGCAAUUAUUAUUUUGUCCCCAAGUUCAGACCAAACAGAAUAAAAUCGCAGAACAGAAGCUAUUCCGUCUUUGGAGGAGCAACCGAAAAUUAGUCUGAACAGGAAAACAUUUUUUCUGGGACCCGCAUGGUUGGUGGUUCAAUCCCCAGUGUAGCCAUGAUAAGAUCCGUGCAGCUGUUGGGCCUUUGAGCAAGGACCUUUUCCCCAUAUUGCACCAGGAAGGUGAAGCAUGAAUUUGGAACUGGGCAGUUCCGCUGAUGGCCAUCCUCAGCCCCAGUGAGCUCCAUCAGACCCUCAGAACAAUCAUUUGUGCAAAAUGCCCUCAUUAAGGCCCAUCCACACCAAUAACUACAACUACAUAUAACUAUAACAAUAAUGAUGUGAGCAUCCACACUGCUAAACAACAAUGUUCCGUAAAUAUUAAUGGAUGGGGCCCUUUUCCUUAUAUAAUUUUUCAAUGUGAAGGCCUGUUAAUUAGGAUGGAUUUUGAUUGGCUGUCAGUGUUUCAACAUUCAUGCAACUGAAAAAAAACAUUCUGAAAGUGAUCCCAACAACAACGUUUGUCACUGUCGUUGUGUUCCUUAUGUUUUCCAAUAACUAAUUUUAAAUGAAAAAGGAAGAUUGCUUUGCUAUGGCUAUUCUACACUAAUUUAGUUGGAAAGGUAUUCUUAAAAUGGCCUCUUCCUGUGUGCAAUGGUAAUA